GUCACUGUACCUGAACUGGCACCGGAUGGUGUACUUCUUUAGAAUACUCUAGAGUAGGGUACAGAGACGCUU
rnacentral:sRNA from 1 species